UAAAUUGUAAUUAUCAAAUUGUGGGCUGAAAUCCCUAUUUUGGAAAAAAUAUCGUCUUCCCCAAAAUCCAAAUUCCCACUCUCUGCCAUUGAAAUCACCACCACCAAAUUCCCACCACCACCACCACCACCACCGGCAAUCACCUCGUUAUGCCGCCGCCUCCAAAAUGAGAGAAGAGCAUGUCUUCCCCAAAUUUCUUCUUAUUCCCCAUUGAAAUCGCCACCACCACCUCCGGCCAUCACCUCUUCCCGCCGGACCCACCCCUUUCCUUCUACAACAUGUCUCCGGCGGCGGGGAGUUUGUUCUCCGGCGCGAGUCGGUACGUACUCGACGGAGACGACGACGGCGGCGUCUUCAGUUCCUCCCCCCAACAACUCAGAAUUUCAGCCCUGAAUUAGGUGAGAAAAUCGAAAUUGAACACGAUUCAGAGGGUAAGGAAAUCGAGGAUGGGCUCCAGUGGCCUUGUGUGCCGGCGAUUUUCUUCGGGAGCAAACUCCACCUUAGAGGUUGCGAAAAAUCCCGUUUUAUUUUGAAUUGGGUGGAGCUUUUGACAGAGAUGAAUUGGAUCUCGAUUGGGUUUGAGAUUUGUCAGGCCAGAGAGCGACGGUGGUGCUCGACGG
rnacentral:lncRNA from 1 species